UAUCGUUCCAAAACGGAAUACAUAUCCAUUGUUUUUUUAUUAAAGAAAGAAUUGGAACUAUGCAAAGAUUCUAAUAUUUCUGUAUCUAAUUUAACUUGGAGCCAUUGUUAAGCGAUUAUUUGUUGCGAUUUGCUUGGAACAGAACCUAAUUGCAAUUUAUUUCAGUAGCCUAACUAGGAAGGAGGUAAAUUGUUACGAAGGCAUUCAAGCCGGUGAUCGUUCGACAAAAUAGUGCAGAUACUUAAUCAGGAUAUAAUGGAGUGUGUUGAAAAACAAGAGAAUUUUGAUCAGCAACGAUGAGCUCCAACAAGGAAAAAUGCUAAAGAAUCUGAUCAUUUUGUCUUUAUAAUAUUAAGUGCAUUGGUUACCGCGUUUAUAAUUUGUCUGGACUUAUUCUUCUAUGCUUAUACUUAUUACGAUAAAAUUGCUCAGGAGCCGAGGUGGUGCAACUUUGUAAUUGGAGGAGCAUUGUUCGUUCUAUCCACGAUUGAAUGGACUGCUGGUUUGUUGACAAUUGCGUUGUGUGUAUCAAAGUUCUUAAGCUACUUUCCAGAAAUAGUUCAGAUCAGAUCAAUUCCUAUACGCGACUGUAUCUCUGCCGUACUAGUGUACCUAGUGACAGGAUUUAUAUACACUAUAUCAGAUCUAACCAUGAAGUCUGAUGCAAAAGGAAUUACGAAGACAUAACAUUUAAGCUUUACACCCGUUACCAGCACAUGCAUUCAUCUCUUAAAGGUUUCGACUAUGUAUACCACGGAAAACUAUUCUAGUUUAUGCAGGGAAAUAUUAGUAUGGGCGAAAGAUGGAUAGAACUUUAAUUGAUUCUCUAAUUGUGGAAGGGGGCACAUAUGCCCUAUUGAAGUCAACUGAAGUUAUAAUUUUGGCAACCCCAAUUGUGCUGCUUACCUCAAAAUCGAAUUGAUAAUCUUAAUUGAACCUAUAAACAAAAAUUGGACAAACAUAUAAUCUAUGCCAAAUUUCACACCAUGAAUACUUCAUGGUGUGAAAGGAUGGUUAUCGAACGUUCGCAUUUUGUCGUCGAAUCGCCAUCAUCGAAAAUUAAUGUUUCCAGCAGAAAUUGUAGUAUGAGACAUUCGUUCAAAUUACGAUUUAUCUGACUUGCAUCGUUCUAUAGAGAGUCUGGUUGAACCGUUAAUUCAGCUGAUAUUAUACUAAUGCACUACUGUAAGAGUGUAAGCAAAUUAACUAUAAUCAUGAUACUGUACAGGAGCAUUCAUAAUAUUUACGAAAUUAUAAUCCUUUGCGAUAGAAAUACUUUACAUAUCAUAACAUUAAUAUUGGUUGAAAGAAAGAA